UGGCAUAUGAAAAGACUCAGGAACUUGCUAGAGACCUACGAGCUGUUGGAUGUGGUGACUUGGAUGUUGAGGGUAAUGAAUCAUUUACUUUAGCUCCAUUAAUUUAAAUUACAUAAUUAAGACUAUGAUCCCCUACAAUGUUAGAGGAUGAUAACUAUGUACAGCAUUAUUCGUUUAUGAGACAACUCAGUCUGCAUGCCUUUCUUAUUUUUAUAUGUUUUCAUCCCUAGUGUUGAUGCUGAAUGAGAGUAUUGCUAGAGCCUAACUUGAUAGUUUGUCUGGCUGAAUGUGCUUUUUGUACACUUCAUUUUGGUUUAAGUGUAACUUCUCCUGUUG
rnacentral:lncRNA from 1 species